GGGAGAGCGCUGGUGCUGGGCAGCUGAUAGGAUCAAGUCCAUCUGUGCCUGAUGCUUUCUGCUUGCAUGUGGCAGGUAGAUCUUCAAGUAAACAUAUCUACAGGAUGAUGCAGGAACUGACAGGGACUGAUAUGGGAAUAUCUGCAUUGAGAGCCAAGUGGCAGAAGAUUGUGACAAAUUCUUCAGUUUGGUCUCUGUAGUUUCUUAAAAAGAAAGUGGAUGAUCUCUCACCGAUGUCUCGGAGUAAGGAGAGGAUUCUGGAGCUGCCAUAUCAUAAUACGGAGUCUGGAGCGGUGUCUUCUGUAACUCCUCCUCCUCCUCCUUCGCACUGUCCAGGUGGACCACCUGAGCACAAGCAGAUCCCGAUCAAGAGAGAACAAACCAUAUAAAAGCGAAAUGGUGAAUACAGAAAUGUGUCUCUGUGUGGCGUUGGGGGUCAGAGCAGACACCAGGAAGAGCUGACUCAGGGAGCCGUUUGAUGAUUUGCUCCAGUUCCUUCAUUGGAAUCAGUUUCCUGACAGAACAAAAGCAUUUCCUCUCUGUGUCUGGAAAGAUCGCCCAUUUCCUGAAGGCUAUCAUAUGCAGGAGGGAAACGGAUAAGGAGUGGCUGCAGUCUCUGGUCUGGUUCAGAAGUUUCUUCAAGAUCAGAAAUCCUCAAUUCCGAACUUCCAGGAAUGAGGGUAACGAUACUCACAGGUCAUUGUCUGUGUCCGUGCGGUUCUUCUGUUGCCGGCGGUAGA